rnacentral:rRNA from 1 species
GACGAACGCUGGCGGCGUGCUUAACACAUGCAAGUCGAACGGAAAGGCCCGGCUUUUGUGGGGUGCUCGAGUGGCGAACGGGUGAGUAACACGUGAGUAACCUGCCCUUGACUUUGGGAAAAUGGCAGGAAACUGGGGCUAAUACCGGAUAGGAGCUCCUGCUGCAUGGGGGGGGUUGGAAAGUUUGGGCGGUUGGGGAUGGACUCGCGGCUUAUCAGGUUGUUGGUGGGGUAGUGGCUUAGCAAGUCGUUGACGGGUAGCGGGCCUGAGAGGGUGACCGGCCACAUUGGGAAGGCUAUACCGCCCAGACUCCUACGGGAGGAAGCAGUGAGGAAUAUUGCACAAUGGGCGGAAGGCUGAUGCAGCAACGCCGCGUGCGGGAUGAUGGCCUUCGGGUUGUAACCCGCUUUCGCCUGUGACGAAGCGUGAGUGACGGUAAUGGGUAAAGAAGCACCGGCUAACUACGUG